AACGAACGCUGGCGGCAGGCUUAACACAUGCAAGUCGAACGCCCCGCAAGGGGAGUGGCAGACGGGUGAGUAACACGUGGGAACAUGCCCAAAGGUACGGAAUAUCCUCGGGAAACUGGGAGCAAUACCGUAUGUGACCGUAAAGUGAAAGAUUUAUCGCCUUUGGAUUGGCCCGCGUUGGAUUAGCUAGUUGGUGGGGUAAAAGCCUACCAAGGCGACGAUCCAUAGCUGGUCUGAGAGGACGACCAGCCACACUGGGACUGAGACACGGCCCAGACUCCUACGGGAGGCAGCAGUGGGGAAUCUUGGACAAUGGGCGCAAGCCUGAUCCAGCCAUGCCGCGUGAGUGAUGAAGGCCCUAGGGUUGUAAAACUCUUUCGUGGGGGACGAUAAUGACGGUACCCCAAGAAGAAGCUCCGGCUAACUUCGUGCCAGCCGCCGCAGUAAUAC
rnacentral:rRNA from 1 species